rnacentral:tRNA from 1 species
ACCUGAUUGGCUCAGUCGGAAGAGCAUGUGACUCUUGAUCUUGAGGUCAUGAGUUCGAGACCCACAUUGGGUG